CCUACGGGCGGCAGCAGUGAGGAAUAUUGCACAAUGGGGGAAACCCUGAUGCAGCGACGCCGCGUGAGUGAAGAAGUAUUUCGGUACGUAAAGCUCUAUCAGCAGGGAAGAAAAUGACGGUACCUGACUAAGAAGCCCCGGCUAACUACGUGCCAGCAGCCGCGGUAAUACGUAGGGGGCAAGCGUUAUCCGGAUUUACUGGGUGUAAAGGGAGCGUAGACGGCAGCGCAAGUCUGGAGUGAAAUCCCAUGGCUUAACCAUGGAACUGCUUUGGAAACUGUGCAGCUAGAGUGCAGGAGAGGUAAGCGGAAUUCCUAGUGUAGCGGUGAAAUGCGUAGAUAUUAGGAGGAACACCAGUGGCGAAGGCGGCUUACUGGACUGUAACUGACACUGAAGCACGAAAGCGUGGGGAUCAAACAGGAUUAGAUACCCUUGUAGUC
rnacentral:rRNA from 1 species